rnacentral:antisense_RNA from 1 species
CACCCACCGUGGCUGGCGCCGCAGGCGCUGGUGACCGGAAUUGGAACAGGGGCCGGUACAGGCGCACGGUGGGGAAGCAGAGGGGCCGGCAGUCGGGGGACUGUCCGGCCCUGUUUU